rnacentral:rRNA from 1 species
ACGAACGCUGGCGGCGUGCUUAACACAUGCAAGUCGAACGGAAAGGCCCUGCCUUUGUGGGGUGCUCGAGUGGCGAACGGGUGAGUAACACGUGAGUAACCUGCCCUUGACUUUGGGAUAACUUCAGGAAACUGGGGCUAAUACCGGAUAGGAGCUCCUGCUGCAUGGUGGGGGUUGGAAAGUUUCGGCGGUUGGGGAUGGACUCGCGGCUUAUCAGCUUGUUGGUGGGGUAGUGGCUUACCAAGGCUUUGACGGGUAGCCGGCCUGAGAGGGUGACCGGCCACAUUGGGACUGAGAUACGGCCCAGACUCCUACGGGAGGCAGCAGUGGGGAAUAUUGCACAAUGGGCGGAAGCCUGAUGCAGCAACGCCGCGUGCGGGAUGACGGCCUUCGGGUUGUAAACCGCUUUCGCUCAUGACGAAGCUUUGUGUGACGGUAGUGGGUAAAGAAGCACCGGCUAACUACGUG